UACUGAGACCUCAAGCGUUAUUCGGAAUCAUUGGGCGUAAAGCGUACCGAUGCGGGGUUAAGAAUGUCAGAUGUGAAAUUCCAAGGCUCAACCUUGGGACUGUCAUUUGAAACUUCUUGACUAGAGGGGCAAAGAGGAAGCUGGAACGAACGGUGUAGUAGUGAAAUGCGUUGAUAUCGUUCGGAACACCUAUAGCGAAGGCAGCUUACUAGGCUGUAACUGACGCUGAGGCACGAAAGUGUGGGGAUCAAACAGG
rnacentral:rRNA from 1 species